UCCUGAAUGCUGCUCAGCUGCUGCUCCAAGGUGCUCCUGCGCUCCUUCUCACCUUGCAAGCUCUUAUUUGUCUUCUCCCUGUCUGACUGACAGGCCCGCAACUGCUCUUCCGCAGCCUGGUGAACCCUCUGUUCUGCCUGUAGUGCUUCCUGACUCUGUGCCAGCUCUCUCCUGGACCCCUGCAGGUCCUCUUCCCUCUGCCCCAGCUGAGUUAUCUUUAGGCGGAGCUGCUGCCUCAGGCUGCUGUUAGUGGCUUCCAGAACCCUGUUCAUCUGCUGGAGCUGCUGAGACGCCUGCAGAUCUGUUUGGCCACAAAGAGAGAUUUGGAGGGCAUCUUCUCCAGCUGUGCCCUGUUGUCCUGAGACUGCAGCAUCGGCCCUUUUCCUGCUUCUUGCAACCUUUUGCAUAACAGGCCGAAAUAUAAGAUCCGACUGUCUGAAGCUUAAGGAGGCAGGUGGCGGCCACUCCUAACAGCAGGAAGGUGAGGAGCAGGCAGAGCAGGAGGUAAUGCCAGCAGGGUGCGCGGCCUUGGGGGACAGUGGGAUGGACAAGGGGCAGUCAGCCCCAGGGAAGAAUGUAUAGACCAGCGGAUGGGUGUGGGGGGGGAGAUUUCCUGGGUAAGCAUCCCUGAGAGGGUGCAGAGUUGAGGGGACAGGCACUGUGGGUGUUGCCGGGUAGUGGAGCGUUUUGCAGGUAGGGGAGGGAGGGUGUUCCAGAAUAAGAGCUGGGGAUUGUUACUGGUAAGGAGGAUUGAAGGGCGUCACCUGGGAACAGGGAGAACUAAAUCCCAGAAGGGGAGAGGGGAAGGGUGGGGAGGUAUGUGACUUGGGACAUCCCAAGCAGGGAGGUGAUCUGGGUGGGCAAGAUCUGCGCGGGGAUGGGGAAGGGCAGGGCAGCGGGGGCGCGGGCCCAUCCCCGGCGACAGCGCCCCCGUGGGGCCCAGGAGCUCUCCCCAUCCCAGCCAGCCCGGAGAGGCACCGGGCAGCCGGGACCAGACGCUACUCACAGGACAGAGCCAGCCUGGCAGCCGGUGACGUCACGGAGCGCCAGGCCGCAGCUGGUGGCUCCGCCUUGACCCCUGCGAAGGGAGCGGCCAGUUCCGAGACGGGAAGCCCCGGUGAUGCCCCUUCUCCGGCCCAGCCCCGCCACCCGGAAGCGCCAGUCCGCCCGGCUGCCCUGUGCAAGUGCGGGGACACGGCCGCUCUCCGCAGCUCUUCCUCUGCCCGGACCCUCCAGCUCCCUCCUGGGUCUCCCCCUGUCCUUUCCCGCCCCCUCCUCUCUCCCGGCUCUGCCUGCGUCCUACCCUCCAACUCGUCUCCCCACCGGGCUGCCCUGACCCCGCCCCGCCCUCGUCUCCCCCGUCUCCACCUGGCCCAGGGAACUUUCCUCUCCCCGCUCCCAUUUAUCCUGUUGUCCUUCUGCUCUUCCCUGAGAACCGCGGAGACACGGCCCCCCACAAACACACGGCCCCAGGCUCUCCAGACCUGCAUCUGGUCCAGAGGACACCAAGCCCGAGGGCCCCCCUGGGGCUGGGGUCACUUGCACGUUCUCGUAGGAUGUGACCCCUAAUAGGACCCCAAAAGGGCCUCCAUCCAGGGAUGGGAAGGAGCUGCGACAAGACAAGACCGUCUCAGAGCCCUCCUUCGUGCAUAGGAGAGUGAGAUCCUUCCUCUUCCCCGUGUGUGUCACAUGGGGUCUCUGCAAUUUUGACAUUCACACUACCUUUGAAGGCUGGACAUCGGAAAAGACACCUGUAACUCCACGCUGCACCUCUACUGCCCAAAUAUCAGGAACACUGGGAGGCUUUUUAAGAGCUGAGAGGGAGAACUUUUUCCAUCAUGGGAAGAAAGAGAUCUGACGUGGGAAGGACUCAACCUGCAGGUGCUGGCUUUGAAGGUGGAGGAAGAGGACGAGGAGCCAGGAAUCCAUGAGCCUCUAGAAGCUGGGAAAAGCAGGAAGCAGCUUCUCCCCUCCAGUCUCCAGAAAGGAACCCAGCCCUGCCAACAUCUUGAAUGGAAUCCAGCGAAACCUGUGUCAGAUGUCUGACCUCCAGAACUGGGAGAUAAUAAAUAGGUAUCGCUUAAGUCA